UCUGGUUGAUCCUGCCAGUAGUCAUAUGCUCGUCUAGAAGACUAAGCCAUGCAUGUCUCAGUAUGAAUAUCGAUACGAUGAAACUGCGAAUGGCUCAUUAAAACAGUUAUAGUUUAUUUGGUGGGGAAAAUUACACGGAUACCCGUGCUAAUUGCAGAGCUAAUACGUGCUUAACACCCAAUGGGUGGUAUUUAUUAGAUUUUGAACCAAUGUACCUUCUGGGUGCUGAACGGUGAUUCAUGAUAACUGAACGGAUCGCAUGGUUAAUCCGGCGACAGACCAUUCAAGCUUCUGACCUAUCAGCUUUCGACGGUAGGGUAUUGGCCUACCGUGGCUUUGACGGGUAACGGGGAAUUGGGGUUCGAUUCCGGAGAGGGAGCCUGAGAAACGGCUACCACAUCUACGGAAGGCAGCAGGCGCGCAAAUUACCCAAUCCUGACACAGGGAGGUAGUGAACAGCAAUAGCAGCGCAGUGCUUCAAGCUCUGCGACUGGAAUGAGUAAGAAUUAAAUCCCCUUACGAGUAUCAAUUGGAGGGCAAGUCUGGUGCCAGCAGCCGCGGUUAAUUC
rnacentral:rRNA from 1 species